UACAGAGGUCCCAAGCGUUGUUCGGAUUCAUUGGGCGUAAAGGGUGCGUAGGCGGCGCGGUAAGUCGGGUGUGAAAUCUCGGAGCUUAACUCCGAAACUGCAUUCGAUACUGCCGUGCUUGAGGACUGGAGAGGAGACUGGAAUUUACGGUGUAGCGGUGAAAUGCGUAGAUAAUCGUAAGGAAGACCAGUGGCGAAAGGCGGGUCUCUGGACAGUUCCUGACGCUGAGGCACGAAGGCCAGGGGAGCAAACGGG
rnacentral:rRNA from 1 species